rnacentral:rRNA from 1 species
UACAGGGGGGGCAAGCGUUGUUCGGAAUUACUGGGCGUAAAGGGCUCGUAGGCGGCCAACUAAGUCACACGUGAAAUCCCCAGGCUUAACCUGGGAACUGCAUUCGAGACUGCAUUGCUAGAGUAUGGGAGAGGGAAGUGGAAUUUCCGGUGUAGCGGUGAAAUGCGUAGAUAUCGGAAGGAACAUCAGUGGCGAAAGCGGCCCCCUGGUUGGAUACUGACGCUGAGACGCGAAAGCGUGGGGAGCAAACAGG